rnacentral:rRNA from 1 species
GACGUAGGGCGCGAGCGUUGUCCGGAUUUAUUGGGCGUAAAGAGCUCGUAGGCGGUUUGGUGAGUCGGGUGUGAAAUCUCCACGCUCAACGUGGAGGGGCCACCCGAUACUGCCAUGACUAGAGUCCGGUAGGGGAGUGUGGAAUUCCGGGUGUAGCGGUGGAAUGCGUAGAGAUCCGGAAGAACACCGGUGGCGAAGGCGGUUAGCUGGGCAGUUGCUGACACUGAGGCGCGACAGCGUGGGGAGCAAACAGG